GAUGAACGCUGGCGGCGUGCCUAAUACAUGCAAGUCGAGCGAACAGACGAGGAGCUUGCUCCUCUGACGUUAGCGGCGGACGGGUGAGUAACACGUGGAUAACCUACCUAUAAGACUGGGAUAACUUCGGGAAACCGGAGCUAAUACCGGAUAAUAUAUUGAACCGCAUGGUUCAAUAGUGAAAGACGGUUUUGCUGUCACUUAUAGAUGGAUCCGCGCCGCAUUAGCUAGUUGGUAAGGUAACGGCUUACCAAGGCAACGAUGCGUAGCCGACCUGAGAGGGUGAUCGGCCAGACUGGAAGUGAGACACGGUCCAGACUCCUACGGGAGGCAGCAGUAGGGAAUCUUCCGCAAUGGGCGAAAGCCUGACGGAGCAACGCCGCGUGAGUGAUGAAGGUCUUCGGAUCGUAAAACUCUGUUAUUAGGGAAGAACAAAUGUGUAAGUAACUAUGCACGUCUUGACGGUACCUAAUCAGAAAGCCACGGCUAACUACGUG
rnacentral:rRNA from 1 species